UACGUAGGGGGCGAGCGUUGUCCGGAAUUAUUGGGCGUAAAGAGCGUGUAGGCGGUUCGGUAAGUCUGCCGUGAAAACCUGGGGCUCAACCCUGGGCGUGCGGUGGAUACUGCCGGGCUAGAGGGUGGUAGAGGCGAGUGGAAUUCCCGGUGUAGCGGUGAAAUGCGCAGAUAUCGGGAGGAACACCAGUAGCGAAGGCGGCACGCUGGGCCAUUCCUGACGCUGAGACGCGAAAGCUAGGGGAGCGAACGGG
rnacentral:rRNA from 1 species